ACACUGCUGGACAGGCUCGCCUCUCCCAUGGGGACAGGCACUGCUCCACGGCUGUCCAGCUGCAGCUACCUCUCCAGGCAUCAAACUCAGGACCCUACACUUUCGAGGCAGCUAGCAGAACCAACUAAGCUAAGUCCUCAGCCCUAAAAAGCAUGCAUUUUCACGUGAGUGACAUCGUAUAUGGCAAGAAUUCUUAACAGCAUGGGCAAGAUGAAAAAAGACUCACAUUUUGUCAUUAUAAGGGUCUUGCUGUGUAGUUCAGACCGGAAUUGAGCUGACUGUAUAAGCCAGGCUGGCCUCCAACUCACAGGGAUCUUCCUGCCUCAGCCUCCCAAGUGCUGGGACUCCCAACAUGUGGCAUCACACCCGGCCUUCAAGCAAAUGGUCCUCCUGACCUGUGGUAUUUAUACAACACACUGCAUUGUAGGUACCCGUUCUCCUCUGCACAAGUAGUUUUGCUUUCAUCUUUAAAGAGUACAGUAAGUAGCCUCAGGUGAGAGGUUAUAAAUUUUAUCUAUGUAGUAAUCAGUUUUGAUCUUUCUUUCCACAUGUGAAGUGUUUUCCCAGAAAACUAAGCAGAAGGUAAAGCCUGAGGUAUCCAUAGCCCAUAUGGAACUUCCAUCUUUUCUUCCCCAGGAUGGAAGAGGUGUACUAUUAUUGCCUUACAUUCAGCUUCUAAACACACUUCUGGAGAACCAAGAUGAGCUUUUUCAAAUGCCAAUAAAUGAGUUAACUUGAUACUGCGAUGAAGAGCUUGUUCCUUUCCCCCUGCUGCUCUUAUAUGGAAUGUAAUUUUUUCAUAAAAAUUUAGUUUCAGUGAAGAGAAGUUGCACCUUGAACCUGUGUGACAUCCAGGCAACUGCAUCCAGUCACCCAUCUCAGGUGCUGUAUAAUCUGCAGAAGAAGUCACUUUCCUGACAGGCUCCUCACUGCCCGUCCACCUCUGUGAUGGAGACCUUUACACUCUCAGGAGAUUUUACAUUUUUUCCAUCUGGGCUGCAGGUGGCAACUGUGGGCCCCGCCACUCACAUCCUUGGCUGUGCUUAGGGGACAGAGGACCUGGGGACAGGACCACCCCCUGUGGGCCCCUGCCUGCCCCUCAGCCCUGCUCCUGGGGACAGGGAUUCCCUGCAGUACAAUUCAAGAUCUUGCCCGGUGACCCAGCCUGGCAGGCACCCUUUCAUCUCAUUUGAUGAGAAAUCCUGGGCCAGCGUCUCUCUCAGGACACUGCGAUCUGCCCGACACAGGAGAGACUCUGAAGGCUGUGUAGGGAGCCUGGGCCUUCCACUGACAAACCUGAGUCACAACCAGGCCUUGCGGAUGGAUUGAGUUUGUAAGUCAAGGGUCCACCGUAUUGUGGUAUUUGGCACGAGGGUGGAGCACUGCUUGCCUGUGGGUGGGUUGGUUUCUAAUUCACACCAGAAAAGAAUAGAAAAGAAAAGAAGUUGGCUGGCCUGGGCCACACAGCAAGUUCAAGCUUAGCU